rnacentral:rRNA from 1 species
CCUACGGGAGGCAGCAGUGAGGAAUAUUGGUCAAUGGCCGGAAGGCUGAACCAGCAAAGCCGCGUGAAGGACGAAGGUGCCAAGCAUUGUAAACUUCUUUUGUCAAGGGACAAAAUCAGGCGCGAGAGCCUUACCGAGGCUACUUUAAGAAAAAGCAUCGGCUAACUCCGUGCCAGCAGCCGCGGUAAUACGGAGGAUGCGAGCGUUAUACGGAUUGAUUGGGUUAAAGGGGUGCGUAGGUGGACUGUUAGGUCAGGGCUAAAAGCACGGGGCUCAACCCCGGCGAGCCGUUGAAACUGGCUGUCUUGAGAUGUCGAGAGGUAUGCGGAAUGCGCAGUGUAGCGGUGAAAUGCUUAGAUAUUGCGCAGAACUCCGAUGGCGAAGGCAGCAUACCGGCGGCGAUCUGACGCUGAGGCACGAAAGCGUGGGUAUCGAACAGGAUUAGAUACCCGAGUAGUC